rnacentral:lncRNA from 1 species
GUGAAGUUUGGAAGGCACUGUAGAAGUUCGUCCGCUGGAGGAGUCUUAAGGAUACUGUGGAAGGUUGACCGCUGGAGGAGUCUGAAAUUCAAUUCUAUUGUAGAAGUUUGGACGGAGUUCGAUUCUUGUAGGAAUCUGGAAGGAGGUCGCUUACUGUAGAAGCAAUUCGGAAGGAGGCUGCUUACUGUAGAAGCUCGAAUGAAGAUCGGUUGCCGUGGAAGCUCAGAUGGAGACUUCUUAUUAUAGAAGCUCGGAUGAAGUCUGCUUAUAAUAGAAGUUUGGAGUAGAGAUCCGACUAGUGGAGCCCGUCGGUUGUAGAAGUUCAUCUGGAAUCCAUCUGCUGUAGAAGUUCAGAUGGAGUCCGGCUCUUGUAGGAGCUCGGAUGAAAUUUGAAAGGUGGUCGACCACUGUAAAAACUUGGAUGGAGUCUGGUUACUAUAGAAGUCUUGCCGCUGGAGAAGCUCAGUCAUUGACGAAGUCCGAAAGAAGUUCGGAGUAAAGUCGAUCAUGGCUGGAAGAAGUCUGGAAGAGAUUCAGAGAGUAGUCGAUCACUGUAGAAAAUUGACUGAUAGUGAAGUCCAAAGAGCAUUUGGAGCAGUCCGAUAGAUGAAUGGAGGAGCUCAUUAUUGGAGAAGUCUGGAUGGCAUGAUAGGAGUUCGUCCAUUGGAGGAACCUGGAGGACACUGUGGAAGGUCGACUACUAGGAGAGUCCGGAUGGUAUUAUGGA